UAUGUGCAUUCCGUGCCGCAUUUUAAAGGAAAAUAGGAAAUAUUUAAGGCAACCAAGGACAAAGGAUUGAGAAUAGGAUAAUUUAAUUUAUAAUUUAAGGAUAGAGAAAAGCUUCAGCAAGAUGACAAUGAUUGAGCCGCAGUAAUGGAGCAACUAAUGCAUCAUUUGUCUGUAAACUUAAUAAUUGAAGAAGCAUUGACAAAUAAAAAUCCUAAUUAAAUAAAUAAAUUACAAAUAUAUUUAUUACUUUUUUACUGUCUUUAUCCUUUGAAUCGGUACCACCCAUCAAAUUAUGCCGCACUUCAGUUAAGAAACCAAUUAAUGCCAAUAGUC